rnacentral:rRNA from 1 species
GAAGAACCUUACCAAAUCUUGACAUCCUUUGAAAACUCUAGAGAUAGAGCCUUCCCCUUCGGGGGACAAAGUGACAGGUGGUGCAUGGUUGUCGUCAGCUCGUGUCGUGAGAUGUUGGGUUAAGUCCCGCAACGAGCGCAACCCUUAAACUUAGUUGCCAGCAUUUAGUUGGGCACUCUAGGUUGACUGCCGGUGACAAACCGGAGGAAGGUGGGGAUGACGUCAAAUCAUCAUGCCCCUUAUGAUUUGGGCUACACACGUGCUACAAUGGACAAUACAAAGGGCAGCUAAACCGCGAGGUCAUGCAAAUCCCAUAAAGUUGUUCUCAGUUCGGAUUGUAGUCUGCAACUCGACUACAUGAAGCUGGAAUCGCUAGUAAUCGUAGAUCAGCAUGCUACGGUGAAUACGUUCCCGGGUCUUGUACACACCGCCCGUCACACCACGAGAGUUUGUAACACCCGAAGCCGGUGGAGUAACCAUUUAUGGAGCUAGCCGUCGAAGGUGGGACAAAUGAUUGG